UCCAUGAACUUUUAGAACUUUUAGAAGGCGGACAUUGAAUGGCUUCAGAACCCUACCCCUUCCAUUUACCGGCGAUUGGGUUCCCCUGUCUGUUUCACUUGAAGCCUACUAUUUUAAGCCGACUUUUGAGAAGAGGGAAUCCCAAACACGCCCUUCGCCUCGCCGGUCAGUUUUCUGAAACCCUAAUUUUUCUAUUAAUGGUGAACGGCAUACUGCAAUGGAUUCGAAGGGUAUUCAGAUUGAAGCCAUUUCAGAUUAAACUCGCAAUAACGAGGACAGUGAUUUGUUUUCAUUUUAGUAUUUGUUUCGAAUUUAGAGUUUUGCCGAUUAGGGUUUUGGCAUGAUAAUCAAGAGGAAGUUGAAAUCGGCAAUGCUAAUAUAAUCAAGUGCAGUUUUCCCGAUUAUGGUUCAAAGCAAGAUCUCUUGUAUCUACCAACAAUGGAUUCCGUCUUCACUGAAAUUGUUGUUAAGAAGAAGCUCGUUAUCAUCAAAAUAGGCACCAAAGGGAGGGGGAGGAAAAAUGGGGCUAUUGAGAAAGUUGUGGAGAGGAGGUAGAGGAAGACGAUUAAGAACCGAGACUCUGCGGCUAGAUCACGCGCUCGGAAACAGGUUCUCAACUUGAAAAAAAGAUUCGGGCUCUCGCAUCUUAUCGUGACUAUACAUUUGCUGCAUACGGGAAUGAUAUUGGCGUAUUCAAGCGUGCGCAUCAGGUGGCUACAUGGAGCAGCCAUAAUGCUAAGGUGAACUUGUUACUUUUAGUCAAUCCACUCGAGGUGUUGUGACCUCUUUAUCGUUCAGAACAGGUAAGAUCUCAUGCUGAUGAUUAUUAAAGAAUGUGCCAGUAACUCUUGUAGUAGCAUCUCCAUGUUUUGCAUUCGGAUAGUUUUUUGUUUAAUUUUCUUUUGCAUUAGCUACACUUGGGAUAUUUGUAUUUUCAUCUACAUGUUGAAAAAGUGAUGGGUUGGAUAUAGGUUAAAAUGGGUUUGGGUCAAACGGGUCAUUUGGAAACGUACAAAGGUAAAAGGGUCGGUUUAGUACAUCGGCAACAUUUCCUUUUUUCGGACGGAAAUAUGUGUCGUCAGGUUGCAUGGUUUACCACAAGCCGGGAUUCAUUACCUGUCGUUGAGUCAGAGCUCGAUCGGCAACCCGAUUGCCAUGAGUAUAAUUGUUUCGGGUGGGUAUGAAGAUCAAAACAAUUUACUUUUGUCUACCACCGCGGGGCGGUUGGUGGUGGCUGUGACUGUGUUUCUGGAUGUAUAGACGGUUGUUAUUGUGCUAAAAGGAAAGGUGGUGAGUUUGCGUAUGAUCAAAACAGUUUACUUGUUAGAGGAAAACCGCUAAUCUUCGAAUGCAGGCCACAUUGUAAUUAGAGCACACGCUACUAAGCCGGACCAUGUUCCACAACUUAUGGAACAUGUUACAUAUGCAUCAUGCCUAUUCUAUGGAACUGGAAGCCGAAGUCUCGGAACUGAAACAGAAGAAUCAAGAACUGAAACGGAAACUGGUGAAAGCAUAUCUGAUUGUAUGAAUCAUUAUUUGUCAUGGUUUUUAUAAAUUAAGACAAGCUUAGUGAAAAAUAGCGAGUUCAAACAAAUUAUUUUUUUGUUGGUGCUGA